GAUAACCUGCAACUGGGCUUCGAAUACGGUGAGAGCCCCGUACGGCUGGACGCCUAGCCUGUGUGAAGCUCCUUCGACGAGUCGAGUAGUUUGGGAAUGCUGCUCUAAAUGGGAGGUAAAUUCCUUCUAAAGCUAAAUACCGGCCAGAGACCGAUAGCGCACAAGUAGAGUGAUCGAAAGAUGAAAAGCACUUUGGAAAGAGGGUUAAAAAGUACGUGAAAUUGCUGAAAGGGAAGCGCUUGCGACCAGACUCGCGCCUGGCGGAUCAUCCAGCGUUCUCGCUGGUGCACUUCGCCUGGCACGGGCCAGCAUCGGUUCGGCGGGGGGGAUAAAAGCCCGGGAAACGUACUCCCUCCGGGGAGUGUUAUAGUCCCCCGCCCAAUGCCCUGCCGGACUGACCGCGCCUUCAAGGAUGCUGGCGUAAUGGUCGUUACGACCGUCUUGAAACACGGACCAAGGAGUCGAACAUUUGUGCAAGUGGUUGGGUGCAAAACCUUACCGUAAUGAAAGUGACCGAGGUGGGAGCUUUGGGCACCUUGACCGAUCUGAAGUUUUCGGAUGGAUUGAGUUAAAACUUACUUUUCGGACCCAAAGAUGGGGACUUUGCCUGUUUGGGGGAAACCCNAGGAAACUUUGGUGGAGGGUUCCAACGGUUUUUACGGCAAAUCGUUCGUCAAAAUUGGGCUUGG
rnacentral:rRNA from 1 species